GACGAACGCUGGCGGCGUGCUUAACACAUGCAAGUGGAGCGACGAACCAGGCUUGCCUGGGGCAAAGCCGCGAACGGGUGAGUAACACGUGGGUAAUCUGCCCCGAUGACCGGGACAACCCGAGGAAACUCGGGCUAAUACCGGAUGUGGUGCACACACAUAAGUGUGUUCACUAAAGGAAGCUUCGGCCUCCGCAUCGGGAGGGGCCCGCGGCCCAUUAGCUUGUUGGUGGGGUCAUGGCCUACCAAGGCAACGAUGGGUAGCUGGUCUGAGAGGACGAUCAGCCACACUGGGACUGAGACACGGCCCAGACUCCUACGGGAGGCAGCAGUGGGGAAUCUUGCGCAAUGCGCGAAAGCGUGACGCAGCAACGCCGCGUGAGGGAAGAAGGCCUUCGGGUUGUAAACCUCUUUCAGGAGGGACGAAGGCCGGCCGGCGAAUAGCCGAGUCGGUUGACGGUACCUCCAGAAGAAGCUCCGGCUAACUACGUGCCAGCCGCCGCGGUAAUAC
rnacentral:rRNA from 1 species